rnacentral:rRNA from 1 species
AUGAACGCUAGCUACAGGCUUAACACAUGCAAGUCGAGGGGCAGCAUGGUCUUAGCUUGCUAAGGCCGAUGGCGACCGGCGCACGGGUGAGUAACGCGUAUCCAACCUGCCUUACACUCUUGGACAGCCUUCUGAAAGGGAGAUUAAUACAAGAUGUUAUCAUGAGUAAGCAUUUUCGCAUGAUUAAAGGUUUACCGGUGUAAGAUGGGGAUGCGUUCCAUUAGAUAGUAGGCGGGGUAACGGCCCACCUAGUCUUCGAUGGAUAGGGGUUCUGAGAGGAAGGUCCCCCACAUUGGAACUGAGACACGGUCCAAACUCCUACGGGAGGCAGCAGUGAGGAAUAUUGGUCAAUGGACGAGAGUCUGAACCAGCCAAGUAGCGUGAAGGAUGAAGGUUCUAUGGAUUGUAAACUUCUUUUAUACGGGAAUAAACGGAUUCACGUGUGGAUUUUUGCAUGUACCGUAUGAAUAAGGAUCGGCUAACUCCGUGCCAGCAGCCGCGGUAAUACGGAGGAUCCGAGCGUUAUCCGGAUUUAUUGGGUUUAAAGGGAGCGUAGAUGGGUUGUUAAGUCAGUUGUGAAAGUUUGCGGCUCAACCGUAAAAUUGCAAUUGAUACUGGCAGUCUUGAGUACAGUUGAGGUAGGCGGAAUUCGUGGUGUAGCGGUGAAAUGCUUAGAUAUCACGAAGAACUCCGAUUGCGAAGGCAGCUUACUAACCUGUAACUGACAUUGAUGCUCGAAAGUGUGGGUAUCAAACAGGAUUAGAUACCCUGGUAGUCCACACGGUAAACGAUGAAUACUCGCUGUAGGCGAUAUACAGUCUGCGGCCAAGCGAAAGCAUUAAGUAUUCCACCUGGGGAGUACGCCGGCAACGGUGAAACUCAAAGGAAUUGACGGGGGCCCGCACAAGCGGUGGAGCAUGUGGUUUAAUUCGAAGCAACGCGAAGAACCUUACCUGAUCUUGACAUCCCGAUGACCGCUUCGUAAUGGAAGUUUUUCUUCGGAACAUCGGUGACAGGUGGUGCAUGGUUGUCGUCAGCUCGUGUCGUGAGAUGUUGGGUUAAGUCCCGCAACGAGCGCAACCCUUGUCUUUAGUUACUAACAUCAAGUUGAGGACUCUAGAGAGACUGCCGGUGAUAAACCGGAGGAAGGUGGGGAUGACGUCAAAUCAGCACGGCCCUUACGUCCGGGGCUACACACGUGUUACAAUGGUAGGUACAGAGGGCAGCUACCCAGCGAUGGGAUGCGAAUCUCGAAAGCCUAUCUCAGUUCGGAUUGGAGGCUGAAACCCGCCUCCAUGAAGUUGGAUUCGCUAGUAAUCGCGCAUCAGCCAUGGCGCGGUGAAUACGUUCCCGGGCCUUGUACACACCGCCCGUCAAGCCAUGGGAGCCGGGGGUACCUGAAGUGCGUAACCGCAAGGAGCGCCCUAGGGUAAAACUGGUGACUGGGGCU